rnacentral:rRNA from 1 species
GACGAACGCUGGCGGCGUGCUUAACACAUGCAAGUCGAACGGAAAGGCCCUGCUUUUGUGGGGUGCUCGAGUGGCGAACGGGUGAGUAACACGUGAGUAACCUGCCCUUGACUUUGGGAUAACUUCAGGAAACUGGGGCUAAUACCGGAUAGGAGCUCCUGCUGCAUGGUGGGGGGUGGAAAGUUUCGGCGGUUGGGGAUGGACUCGCGGCUUAUCGGCUUGUUGGUGGGGUAGUGGCUUACCAAGGAUUUGACGGGUAGCCGGCCUGGGAGGGUGACCGGGCACAUGGGGACUGAGAUACGGCCCAGACUCCUACGUGAGGCAGCAGUGGGGAAUAUUGCACAAUGGGCGGAAGCCUGAUGCAGCAACGCCGCGUGCGGGAUGACGGCCUUCGGGUUGUAAACCGCUUUCGCCUGUGACGAAGCGUGAGUGACGGUAAUGGGUAAAGAAGCACCGGCUAACUACGUG